rnacentral:lncRNA from 1 species
GCCCGGCCUUGGCAGCGCUGGCGCGGACGCGGCGGCCGGGGCCGGUCUCCAGGUCCUCGACUCCCGCGAGCGCUGGCCCCGUGUGUCUGCUAUUUUGUCUGCAUCUCUCCUGCAUAUUUAUGGUCGCCUGUCACAUUGCCUGGCGGUUGACAGUUUCCAAAGCACUUGGGCAAGGAGCUGGGGGGAGCUUCACUACAGGUGGGGCAGCGGAGGGAACGCCACCCGCGGGGGACUCGGCCCGACGUGCGGAGUGCCUUGUGCGUUUAGCGCGCUGCGGACGCGGCUGUCGGGAACGGGGCUGGGUGGCCCGUGCCCACCACGGCGUCCGAGCUCCGUCACCUGGGCGCUUGGUGGGGCUGGACCAGUUUUUCCCGGCUCGGGCGUGAGAAACCCCCGCCCGCCGCCGUGCUCCUGGGAGUGGAGUCGUCUCGGGCUCGGGGACCUUUGCCACCCGCUUACCCUCUUAGGGCUGCGCGCCCCAGUCGUGGGUAGUGGCACCGGAUAUUUCCCGUAUGCCACUUAGCAGCUCACCUGUGCUUUUGUAAACUUUGAUUAGCAAAAGCAAAACUGAUCCCUCCCAGACACCAAGCUGCCAGGAAAUUUCUCUAAACCUGACAGUUCUGCGUAAAGCAAAGUCCAGCUCGAGUUGGUUCUCGAGAGCCGGAGGGUCCUGCUGUUGCAGGCCAAACACCACGUAGCGAACUCUAGCAAGUGUGAAAAAGG